UGAGGUCUAGCUCAGUAGUAGAGCACUUGUCUAGUAUGCAUGAGGCCCUGGGUUCAAUCCCAGCACCACAU
rnacentral:tRNA from 1 species